GGCAGGUGACACAUUUCCCGAGGCAAAAAAAAAAUUGGGGGCGCUGCCCCCCUGCGUGCAAAGAAUAUAGCACAUACCCAACAGGGAAUUCGUGUGACGACUAGGCUACAAAUGUAUAAUUUCCCCUUGUGGUGGAUUUUCCCUAGGUGAGAUGAAUAGUCGACUCAUAACUGUUAUGGAUAAGGGGAAUCUGACUAUUUAAUUAAAACAAAGAGUUAUGAUGGUCCCUUUGGAUGCUGAUGCAAUGCGAUUUCUGUUGAGUUCUCUAAAUGUCAAAGUGAAUAAAUUCAACCAAGCAUGGGUAAACAAUGAGAGUAAUUAUGACUCUUUUAAGGUAGCCAAAUGUCUCGUCAUCUAAUUAGUGACACACAUGAAUGGAUUAACGAGAUUCCCAUUUUC
rnacentral:ncRNA from 1 species